GAUCCUGGCUCAGGAUGAACGCUAGCUACAGGCUUAACACAUGCAAGUCGAGGGGAAACGAUAUUGGAAGCUUGCUUCCGAUAGGCGUCGACCGGCGCACGGGUGAGUAACGCGUAUCCAACCUGCCCACCACUUGGGGGAUAACCUUGCGAAAGUAAGACUAAUACCCAACUGAUAUCUCUAGAAGACAUCUGAAAGAAGAUUAAAGAAUUUAUUCGGUGGAUGGAUGGGGAGUGCGU
rnacentral:rRNA from 1 species